rnacentral:rRNA from 1 species
AUGUCAUCGGAUGUUUGGGCCCAUUUUCACAAGGUCAAAGAGCCAUCGACGGAGCAUCCGGGAGAGAUUGUGUUGAAGGCUGUUUGUAAUUAUUGUCCCAAAAAGAGGUAUGCGUAUACGCAAGGUGGCAGCACCUCAACUAUUGGAAGGCAUAUCUUAAAAUGUGAAGGUUUAAGGAACAAGAUCGCUAGGAAUGCCAUCCAAACAACUCUUGAACUGCGCAAAAUCAAUGAUCCAACAAGUGCUGCAACAAUGCACCCCUCUAUUGAGUACAACCAAGGAAUCGUCAAGGAGCUUAUUGCUAAGAUGAUAUGUGUGCAUGAGUAUUCAUUUAGAAUGGUUGAACAUGAGUGGUUCGACAUUCUGAUGAAGUGCAUGAAUCCAAAUUAUAAACCCAUUGGAAGGAAGGCAAUACGAGCCGAGUGCAUGAGGGUUUACAAGAACGAAAAAGAGGUGCUGAAAUCUCUCCUAAAGGGUGUGAGCUCCAUAUGUCUAACUACAUAUUUGUGGACAAGCAACCGAACCUUAUCUUACAUGUGUGUGGUUGCACACUAUAUAGAUGGGAAUUGGAACUUACAAACCCGUGUGCUUGCUUUCAUAGAGUUGGAUCCUCCUCACUCAGGAAAUGUCAUUGCGGAUGCUCUCUAUGCGGUUGUGCUAGAAUGGAAUAUUGAGACCAAAAUUAUGUCCGUCACACUUGACAACGCUUCAAACAAUGAUGGUGCGGUCGAUGCUUUGAAGGCCAAGUUCUUGUUCCGGAGAGGUAUGUUCCGGAGAGGAACUACUUAG